GUCUUUAAAGGGGAAACAAUACAAAAGAGGAGUGCUUACGGUGUGUUAGUGCAGGCCACUCACCGAGCAGCUGAGGCCAGGAGCAACACCCUUUCUGCCUGAUGCUGCCGAGGCGCAAAACUGCCAGUUCUCUCUGCCCCUCCCAGGCACCUACGUGUGUUACCUAUCGAGCUCCACAGGCCUCUCUGAUUAAGGAGUUCCCACGGGCCCUGGUCCCGCAAGUGGGAAAGUGACAAUGGAUGUCUGUAAAGUGGAUGCCCGAAGUAUCCGUCUGAGCAAGGAGGCACUGCGUAAAGAUGGCCAGUGGGCCACCCCCCGCCAUGUAUCAGGGCUCCAAGGAAUAAAUCUCCAAGGACUCCUUGGCGUGGCCACUUCAGGACCCUUUCCUGCAGAGCAUGAAGCAAAUCCAAGUGCUGCUGGACAAGGUGAGUACACCAAGUACCUGUAGCACUCCUGGAAAAGAAAGUACAAAAAGAGAAGGAAGAAGGCGCCAAAGACAAUGCCAUCUUUGGACCUUGUCCUCCUUGGCCCUGAUGAUGCUGAUUCCUCAGCAUUGCACCUUCAUUGCCCCUGGAUCAGGCCACCCCCUCUUCCCUGGACCUGUCAAUUGAAAUCAAGAGUAAUGGACAGCAGGUAGAACUGGGGAAGUAACUGGACUUACUUUAUGUGUUGACUUGAAAAAACUCGAAAUGAACACAGCUAUUAGAGGAGACUUGCGGUGAGGUUUACACACUUCCAGAAGAGUAAAACAUUGAGUAAAUAUUUAACUUAAAACUUAAAGGUAAAUACUUUGUGAAUAACUAUAAAAUUCAUUAAUUAUUAUACUAAUUUUUAAUAUGGUGCAUUCUUUUUUCGAUCAAAUUAAUUAAUUUAGACCCACUGACUUUAUUUGCAGGUUUUAGUUUAGGGCAAUUAUAUAAAAAGAAAAAACUUGAGCAAGUAUGAAAGCCACAACAUCUGUUUCUAUUUCAUUAAAUAUAAACUUUCUUGAUGGCCUUGUCCACACUUUCAGCACCUUGCAGACUCUUUACAUCCAGCAGAUGCUUCUCAGUUGUGGCCUGGCAGUAGUGACCACUGGACAUAAAGCUGCAAGUUCAGAAUGCAAUCUAAUAAAGAAACCAAAACUAUCAGUGUUGUUGAUAUUGGCCCUUUUUUUAACCAUCUAGGAUUUUAACCCUUUCUGAUGAUUUGGGGAAAGGGUUAAAAUUAAAACUUUGUGAGGUUUGAUAAGAUGCCUCCCACCAUGGAGGCUGAAAGUGUGUUCGCCUCACCUCUAUUGCAGGUAAGGCAUGAUGGACACAUGAUCUAGGAUAUGCCACUCGGGUGUAUACAUUCCACCUGACCCCAGAAAUUGCAGGAUUUCCUAAGGCACAUACACCUGAUAGACUUUUUACUUUCUAAGAAAUACAGAAAGUUCCUAAGACAGUUUAGGUAACUCAAACUGCUGCUUCCGGUGCUUUCCUCACCAGAACAACUCUACUAUAUAAUUUGGGGCAUUAUUGCUGGCCAUAAAAUUCCAAACUUGGUUCACCAGUCUCCCAGCAAUUCUGUGAGCUGCCCAUAUCUUUUCAACAAAUUCCUUUGCUGCCAAAAUAAGCCAGAGUUGUUUUCUGUUGCUUGCAACUAAGAAACCUGAAUGAAACCAGUAAAAUACAUUAAUGCUAUCCAAGACUGAAAAAAACACAAAUUAAAACUUUGUUCACACUCUGUAAAAGACAUAUCUAACCUAUAGUGCCAAAUGCAGAUUAGGAGCUGCCUAGGGCAGGAAAUGGGGGUUUAACUGGGAAAAGAUAAAGGGAACAUUUUAGGGUGAUAGAAAUGUUCUACUUAAUUGUAGUACUGCUUAUAUAGAUGCAUAAAUUUGUUGAAACUCAUCAGAGUUUACACUUUAAUUGGGUGUAUUUAUCCUGUAUAAGUUAUACCUCAAGAAAGUGGAAUUAAAACUUUUCAUUCACACAUUGAGGUCUGUAAAGCAAAAUAAUAAGUUGGCAAGGGUGGGAAGGUACAAUAGAUGGAAAGGCAUUGAUCAACAGCCAUACAGUUAUAAAUGAAGGAUAUAAACAAGCCAAGGCCAUCUGCUAUUUAGAAUCUUGCAUGUUUUCCAUGUGAGUAUGAGAGUUAAGUCAAGGUAGGGCAUUGUCCCUAGCUAUAUAAAUGUCUUCCACAGCCAGUAAAAGCAUUACUGAGAUGAAAACUUUCUUCUGUUUAGCAAUUGCUCAUUUAUUUGUAAAUGCAUUCCAUGAUUAAUAUAAUUAGUUCACAGAAUGUUUGAGCCAAAAGACCCUAAGAACAUGACCCCAUCCAACUUCAUUUAUAGGUGAAGCAGCUGAGGCCUGGAAGGGGGAAGAGCCGUGACCUGCCCACAAAGCCACACUGCUUUGAAAAUUAGUGCUAAUGUUAUUUCAGUUCCUGUUUGAGGAAAAACAUCCUGAAAUACAUAAAGCCAUAUUUUUAUAGAUAAUCAUUUCAUGAGGAUUUAGUUAUCUAAUCUACGACUAAUUGAAAAUAAACCCCAAAUCCCUUCAUAUAUCGGAUAAAAUGUAAACACACAUUUUCAAGCUGGACAUCAUCAAGCUCACAUAUAUCCACGCAGUCACUGACUUCAAGACAUAAUAAAAGGUACAUAGUUAACAGAAAGUGAAUUAGAAUUUUUAUUUUAUUUAUUUAAUUACAAAAG